rnacentral:rRNA from 1 species
ACAAACCGGAGGAAGGUGGGGAGUGACGUCAAGUACCUCCACUUGGCCCGUUACUGUGUAGGGCGUUCACACGUCAUACAAUGGUCGGUACGAGAGGGUCGGCCAACCCGCCGAGGGGGAGGCCAAUCCCAGAAAGCCGAUCGUAGUCCGGAUUGCACUCUGCAACUCGAGUGCAUGAAGUCGGAAUCGCUAGUAAUCGCGGAUCAGCAUGUCGCGGUGAAUACGUUCCCGGGUCUU